rnacentral:rRNA from 1 species
UACGUAGGGGGCAAGCGUUGUCCGGAAUCAUUGGGCGUAAAGCGCGUGUAGGCGGCCAUGUAAGUCCGCUGUGAAAUCUCGAGGCUCAACUUCGAGCUGUCGGUGGAAACUGUCUGGCUAGAGUCAGGAAGAGGAGAGUGGAAUUCCUGGUGUAGCGGUGAAAUGCGCAGAUAUCAGGAAGAACACCCGUGGCGAAGGCGGCUCUCUGGGAAGGUACUGACGCUGAGACGCGAAAGCGUGGGGAGCAAACGGG